CCUACGGGCGGCAGCAGUGGGGAAUAUUGGACAAUGGGGGCAACCCUGAUCCAGCCAUGCCGCGUGUGUGAAGAAGGCCCUCGGGUUGUAAAGCACUUUCAGUGAGGAAGAACGCCUGGUGGUUAAUACCCAUCAGGAAAGACAUCACUCACAGAAGAAGCACCGGCUAACUCCGUGCCAGCAGCCGCGGUAAUACGGAGGGUGCGAGCGUUAAUCGGAAUUACUGGGCGUAAAGCGCGCGUAGGUGGCUUGAUAAGCCGGUUGUGAAAGCCCCGGGCUCAACCUGGGAACGGCAUCCGGAACUGUCAAGCUAGAGUGCCGGAGAGGAAGGUAGAAUUCCCGGUGUAGCGGUGAAAUGCGUAGAGAUCGGGAGGAAUACCAGUGGCGAAGGCGGCCUUCUGGACUGACACUGACACUGAGGUGCGAAAGCGUGGGUAGCAAACAGGAUUAGAUACCCCAGUAGUC
rnacentral:rRNA from 1 species